AACGUAGGGGGCGAGCGUUAUCCGGAAUCACUGGGCGUAAAGGGCGUCUAGGCGGCCAUUUAGGUCCCGUGUGAAAUCUCCCGGCUCAACUGGGAGGGUGCACGGGAAACCGGAAGGCUAGAGACUCGGAGGGGGGUGCGGAAUUCACGGUGUAGCAGUGAAAUGCGUAGAUAUCGUGAGGAAGACCAGUGGCGAAGGCGGGUCUCUGGACAGUUUCUGACACUGAGGCACGAAGGCCAGGGGAGCAAACGGG
rnacentral:rRNA from 1 species